AGCAAAGCGUUGGACAUUAUCUGGGGUUUCUCUGCAAAUGUUUCCUUCCCUGAGACUGGCAUCUACCCAGACCUUUCGGUAGCUCUGUGCUGAGCUCCCGAAGGGGGCUAGAAGAGCUCCUCAACCCAUCAACCAACAGUACUAAUUAGGUUUUCAUCCUAAAGGGAGUUUGGGAUCCUAAAGGGAAUUUCCUUCUGUGGUUAGAACGAGUGCUCCAUCAAAUAUCUCUCAUCGCUCAACAACACUGUACAUUAGCCCACAAAAUAAAUCCCAAGUUUUUCACAUUUGUUGAAAUGAAUAACCAUAAAAGAUAAAAAGUCAGAGGCGGAGCAACAAGGAAACUCCAGUUCGUGGAUUUCUGGGGGGUCGUCUUCGGCGGUAUUGCUCCUUCAAGCUGUGCAAGGGAUGCUCAGCAGAGGAGAGGACCCAGGAGCAGUGCUGGUCUCACACCACCACCUAGGCAAAGCGCGCUUCAUGCUUUUCACUGCAACUCUGUUUUUUAGGAGUGUUUAUGGAAACCAUAGGAAUGAGCAAUAUUCUCCUUCCUUAUCAUGAGGCUUGCUGUUUGCCUUGCUUCACAACAGCUGCUGGUGCCCUUGGCUUCUCUCACAGAGCUUCUUUUCUAGCUCAAGUAGGAAAUCCCUGUGGUUUUGAAGCUAAAAGGUCAAUGCUUUGAGUGGGUGUGGGAGGGAACUAACCAGGCUUUGUGUAGAUGUAGGUCUGCUGUAAAACAUGCCCGAGAAUUUUGUUUCCCACAAAGCAAGCAGGAGGCUGUUGUGCAGACCUUGUGCUGCAGCUUGGAGGUGGGCAGCGCGUGGGUGCUGCUCGCCUGUGCUGGGUACAGGCUGGGGCUGGGUUUUCCCUUUCUCUUUCAGGGAGAGACCUGUUUUGGAAGCAGUCAGCCACGCCAGGCUUCACAGGGGAGCUGAGAAAAGCUACUGCUGGGAAAACAAACUAGCCAAACCUAACUGCGGAGAGCCUGUCACUGCCAUGACCCAGAGAGGGGAAGAAACUUCUGAAAUGGGCCUGAGAAAUCUGGAAGAUCUGGCUCAAGAUGUAGCUAUUGAUAGGACUCUUUAUGAAGUGCAGGUAACUAAAGAGUUGCAGAAAUUUCUUACAAGACCGAGUGACUGAGUGAUAAAUGUCAAAUGAAAGGCAGAGUGGGUAAGUGUAAAGUAAAGUGCGUGGAGGAAAAAUAACCUAAUUAUAUGUAAACACAAAGAUGGGCUGUAAAUUAGCUUUUGUCACUCAGAAAGGGAUCUUUGCAUCACUUUGGAUACACCAGUUGAAUAUUCAAAGCAUCAAGCAGGCAAAUUAAAUUUUAGAUGUUGUUAGGAAAGGGACUGAGGACAAAGAGUUUUGACACCACUGCCAUCCCCACUGUGCCCACACCUGCAUUCCCUUGUGAAGUACUGGUUGCCCCCAAGUUAAAAAGGAGAAAGUGUAAUUAGAAGAGAUGCUAAGAGAAGCCCCCUGGCUCAUGGAAGCAAUGAGCUAUGAAAAGAAAUUUUGAAGAAUGUAAGGAUCUUAGAAACUAUGCUGUCACAGGCCAGGAGGGGAAGCUUUCUCCUGGCUAAAGAAGAAGGUAACAAGCAAGGGGUGGGAGUCAGUGGAUGGUUUCCACUGCAGAGAAAAAUCAGGAGUCUCCUGCAGAGCUAUGCUGAGAUCUUUGCAGUGUAACAAACUUGUAAAUCAUCUGGAAAAGGAGACAAGAGUGUAAAAUUUGUUGACAACACAGUGCUUCCAUGGUGGUAAAGAUAUGAACUGGUUGUGCAGAUGGAUUUUGCGGAACUGAAUAAGAUGGCAGGUGAAGAUUUCCCAAUGCAUGCCAGGGAAAGGAGCGACCCUACCUUUUCAAGCAAAAUGAUGAGCCCUGAGCUGGUUAUUAUCACCUGGGUAUGAGUGAGUGCAGUGCAUGAUAUUAGCAUUUGGAGUACGAGAGAGUUUUAUGAAAACACCAGCUUACUGCUUAGCAACCAUGAGAAAAUCAAAUGACAGGUGAACAGUUAUUAGUGAAGGGAUAGCACAGAGCAUGGUGAAAACUGAUAUUCCAUCUUAUAAACCCUCUUAUAACCAAUCCUGUAAAGCAGUACAUCUGCUUUCUCCUUGCCCUAUCCUCCAUCUCCAGCCUGUA
rnacentral:lncRNA from 1 species